CCUACGGGCGGCAGCAGUGAGGAAUAUUGGUCAAUGGACGCGAGCCUGAACCAGCCACGCCGCGUGAAGGAUGACUGCCCUAUGGGUUGUAACCUCUUUUUAUAUGGGAAUAAAAUGUUCCAUGCGUGGGAUAUUGUCUGUACCAUAUGAAUAAGGAUCGGCCAAGUCCGUGCCAGCAGCCGCGGUAAUAUGGAGGUUCAGAGCGUUAUCCGGAUUUAUUGGGUGUAAAGGGAGCGUAGGUGGAUUGUUAAGUCAGUUGUGAAAGUUUGCGGCUCAACCGUAAAAUUGCAGUUGAAACUGGCAGUCUUGAGUACAGUAGAGGUGGGCGGAAUUCGUGGUGUAGCGGUGAAAUGCGUAGAUAUCACGAAGAACACCAGUUGCGAAGGCAGCUCACUGGACUGCAACUGACACUGAGGCUCGAAAGUGUGGGUAUCAAACAGGAUUAGAUACCCCAGUAGUC
rnacentral:rRNA from 1 species